GACGAACGCUGGCGGCGUGCUUAACACAUGCAAGUCGAACGGAAAGGCCCUGCUUUUGGGGGGUGCUCGAGUGGCGAACGGGUGAGUAACACGUGAGUAACCUGCCCUUGACUUUGGGAUAACUUCAGGAAACUGGGGCUAAUACCGGAUAGGAGCUCCUGCUGCAUGGUGGGGGUUGGAAAGUUUCGGCGGUUGGGGAUGGACUCGCGGCUUAUCAGCUUGUUGGUGGGGUAGUGGCUUACCAAGGCUUUGACGGGUAGCCGGCCUGAGAGGGUGACCGGCCACAUUGGGACUGAGAUACGGCCCAGACUCCUACGGGAGGCAGCAGUGGGGAAUAUUGCACAAUGGGCGGAAGCCUGAUGCAGCAACGCCGCGUGCGGGAUGACGGCCUUCGGGUUGUAAACCGCUUUCGCCUGUGACGAAGCGUGAGUGACGGUAAUGGGUAAAGAAGCACCGGCUAACUACGUGCCAGCAGCCGCGGUGAUACGUAGGGUGCGGGCGUUGUCCGGAUUUAUUGGGCGUAAAGGGCUCGUAGGUGGUUGAUCGCGUCGGAAGUGUAAUCUUGGGGCUUAACCCUGAGCGUGCUUUCGAUACGGGUUGACUUGAGGAAGGUAGGGGAGAAUGGAAUUCCUGGUGGAGCGGUGGAAUGCGCAGAUAUCAGGAGGAACACCAGUGGCGAAGGCGGUUCUCUGGGCCUUUCCUGACGCUGAGGAGCGAAAGCGUGGGGAGCGAACAGGCUUAGAUACCCUGGUAGUCCACGCUGUAAACGGUGGGUACUAGGUGUGGGGUCCAUUCCACGGGUUCCGUGCCGUAGCUAACGCUUUAAGUACCCCGCCUGGGGAGUACGGCCGCAAGGCUAAAACUCAAAGGAAUUGACGGGGCCCCGCACAAGCGGCGGAGCAUGCGGAUUAAUUCGAUGCAACGCGUAGAACCUUACCUGGGUUUGACAUGGAUCGGGAGUGCUCAGAGAUGGGUGUGCCUCUUUUGGGGUCGGUUCACAGGUGGUGCAUGGCUGUCGUCAGCUCGUGUCGUGAGAUGUUGGGUUAAGUCCCGCAACGAGCGCAACCCUUGUUCACUGUUGCCAGCACGUUAUGGUGGGGACUCAGUGGAGACCGCCGGGGUCAACUCGGAGGAAGGUGGGGAUGGCGUCAAGUCAUCAUGCCCCUUAUGUCCAGGGCUUCACGCAUGCUACAAUGGCUGGUACAGAGAGUGGCGAGCCUGUGAGGGUGAGCGAAUCUCGGAAAGCCGGUCUCAGUUCGGAUUGGGGUCUGCAACUCGACCUCAUGAAGUCGGAGUCGCUAGUAAUCGCAGAUCAGCAACGCUGCGGUGAAUACGUUCCCGGG
rnacentral:rRNA from 1 species